rnacentral:rRNA from 1 species
UACGGAGGGUGCAAGCGUUGUCCGGAUUUAUUGGGUUUAAAGGGUGCGUAGGCGGCCCAUUAAGUCAGCGGUGAAAGCCCGGGGCUCAACCCCGGAACCGCCGUUGAUACUGGUGGGCCUGAGUAUGGACGAGGUUGGCGGAAUUGAGGGUGUAGCGGUGAAAUGCUUAGAUACCCUCAAGAACACCGAUUGCGUAGGCAGCUAACUAGGCCAUAACUGACGCUGAGGCACGAAAGCGUGGGGAGCGAACAGG